rnacentral:rRNA from 1 species
GACAGAGGGUGCAAACGUUGUUCGGAAUUACUGGGCGUAAAGGGCGCGUAGGCGGCCCUCCAAGUCGGGCGUGAAAGCCCACGGCUCAACCGUGGAAUUGCGCUCGAGACUGAAGGGCUCGAGGACGGGAGAGGAUGGUGGAAUUCCCAGUGUAGCGGUGAAAUGCGUAGAUAUUGGGAGGAACACCAGUGGCGAAGGCGGCUACCUGGACCGGUUCUGACGCUGAUGCGCGAAAGCGUGGGUAGCAAACAGG